ACUCCUACGGGUGGCAGCAGCAGGGAAUCUUGCGCAAUGGGCGAAAGCCUGACGCAGCGACACCGCGUGAGGGAAGAAUGCUUUCGGGUUGUAAACCUCUUUUGUUAGGGAAGAGAAGGGACUGUACCUGACGAAUAAGCCCCGGCUAACUACGUGCCAGCAGCCGCGGUAAUACGUAGGGGGCGAGCGUUGUCCGGAUUUAUUGGGCGUAAAGGGCGAGUAGGCGGCACGUCAAGUCCCAUGUGAAAUCUCCCGGCUUAACCGGGAGGGGUCAUGGGAAACUGGCGGGCUUGAGGACAGCAGAGGAGGGCGGAAUUCCCGGAGUAGUGGUGAAAUGCGUAGAUACCGGGAGGAACACCAGUGGCGAAAGCGGCUCUCUGGGCUGCCCCUGACGCUGAGGCGCGAAAGCAUGGGGAGCAAACCGGAUUAGAUACCCGGGUAGUCCAUGCCCUAAACGAUGAAUACUAGGCCUGGGGGGUAUCGACCCCCUCUGGGUCGUAGCUAACGCGAUAAGUAUUCCGCCUGGGGAGUACGGCCGCAAGGCUAAAACUCAAAGGAAUUGACGGGGGCCCGCACAAGCAGCGGAGCGUGUGGUUUAAUUCGAUGCUAAGCGAAGAACCUUACCAGGGCUUGACAUCGCAGUGACCGCUAUAGAAAUAUAGUUUUCCUUCGGGACACUAUGACAGGUGCUGCAUGGCUGUCGUCAGCUCGUGUCGUGAGAU
rnacentral:rRNA from 1 species